rnacentral:rRNA from 1 species
GACAGAGGGGGCAAGCGUUGUCCGGAAUUACUGGGCGUAAAGGGCUCGUAGGUGGCCAACUAAGUCGGACGUGAAAUCCCUCGGCUUAACCGGGGAACUGCGUCCGAUACUGGUUGGCUUGAGUUUGGGAGGGGGAUGCGGAAUUCCAGGUGUAGCGGUGAAAUGCGUAGAUAUCUGGAGGAACACCGGUGGCGAAGGCGGCAUCCUGGACCAACACUGACACUGAGGAGCGAAAGCCAGGGGAGCAAACGGG